AGAAUGAACGCUGGCGGCAUGCCUAACACAUGCAAGUCGAACGAGACCUUCGGGUCUAGUGGCGCACGGGUGCGUAACGCGUGGGAAUCUGCCCUUGGGUUCGGAAUAACAGUUAGAAAUGACUGCUAAUACCGAAUGAUGUCGUAAGACCAAAGAUUUAUCGCCCAGGGAUGAGCCCGCGUAGGAUUAGCUAGUUGGUGUGGUAAAGGCGCACCAAGGCGACGAUCCUUAGCUGGUCUGAGAGGAUGAUCAGCCACACUGGGACUGAGACACGGCCCAGACUCCUACGGGAGGCAGCAGUGGGGAAUAUUGGACAAUGGGCGAAAGCCUGAUCCAGCAAUGCCGCGUGAGUGAUGAAGGCCUUAGGGUUGUAAAGCUCUUUACCCGGGAUGAUAAUGACAGUACCGGGAGAAUAAGCUCCGGCUACUCCGUGCCAGCAGCCGC
rnacentral:rRNA from 1 species